rnacentral:rRNA from 1 species
CAACGAGCGCAACCCUUGUCAUUAGUUGCUACGAAAGGNGCACUCUAAUGAGACUGCCGGUGACAAACCGGAGGAAGGUGGGGAUGACGUCAAGUCCUCAUGGCCCUUAUGGGUAGGGCUUCACACGUCAUACAAUGGUACAUACAGAGGGCCGCCAACCCGCGAGGGGGAGCUAAUCCCAGAAAGUGUAUCGUAGUCCGGAUUGGAGUCUGCAACUCGACUCCAUGAAGUUGGAAUCGCUAGUAAUCGCGGAUCAGCAUGUCGCGGUGAAUACGUUCCCGGGUCUUGUACACACCGCCCGUCACACCAUGGGAGCGGGUUUUACCAGAAGUGGGUAGCCUAACCGCAAGGAGGGCGCUCAGCCACGGUAGGAUUCGUNUNUGUNGUGAAGUCGUAACAAGGUAACC